GAUGAACGCUGGCGGCGUGCCUAAUACAUGCAAGUCGAGCGAACGGACGAGAAGCUUGCUACUCUGAUGUUAGCGGCGGACGGGUGAGUAACACGUGGAUAACCUACCUAUAAGACUGGGAUAACUUCGGGAAACCGGAGCUAAUACCGGAUAAUAUUUUGAACCGCAUGGUUCAAAAGUGAAAGACGGUCUUGCUGUCACUUAUAGAUGGAUCCGCGCUGCAUUAGCUAGUUGGUAAGGUAACGGCUUACCAAGGCAACGAUGCAUAGCCGACCUGAGAGGGUGAUCGGCCACACUGGAACUGAGACACGGUCCAGACUCCUACGGGAGGCAGCAGUAGGGAAUCUUCCGCAAUGGGCGAAAGCCUGACGGAGCAACGCCGCGUGAGUGAUGAAGGUCUUCGGAUCGUAAAACUCUGUUAUUAGUGAAGAACAGAUGUGUAAGUAACUGUGCACAUCUUGACGGUACCUAAUCAGAAAGCCACGGCUAACUACGUG
rnacentral:rRNA from 1 species